CCUACGGGGAGCUGCAGUGAGGAAUAUUGGUCAAUGGUCGGGAGACUGAACCAGCCAAGCCGCGUGAGGGAUGAAGGUACAGAGUAUCGUAAACCUCUUUUGUCAGGGAACAAAGGCGGGGACGUGUCCCCGGAUGAGUGUACCUGAAGAAAAAGCAUCGGCUAACUCCGUGCCAGCAGCCGCGGUCAUACGGAGGAUGCGAGCGUUAUCCGGAUUUAUGGGGUUAAAGGGGUGCGCAGGCGGUCUGUUAAGUCAGCGGUCAAAGCCCGGGGCUCAACCCCGGCCCGCCGUUGAAACUGGCAGUCUCGAGUUGGAGAGAAGUAUGCGGAAUGCGCGGUGUAGCGGUGAAAUGCAUAGAUAUCGCGCAGAACUCCGAUUGCGAAGGCAGCAUGCCGGCUCCACACUGACGCUGAGGCACGAAAGCGUGGGUAUCGAACAGGAUUAGAUACCCCAGUAGUC
rnacentral:rRNA from 1 species